AUUGAACGCUGGCGGCAGGCCUAACACAUGCAAGUCGAGCGAGCGGCGGACGGGUGAGGAAUGUCUGGGAAACUGCCUGAUGCAGGCGGAUAACUACUGGAUACGGUAGCUAAUCCCGCAUACCAUCAGAUGUGCCCAGAUGGGAUUAGCUAGUAGGUGGGGUAACGGCCCACCUAGGCGACGAUCCCUAGCUGGUCUGAACGGAUGACCAGCCACACGGGAACUGAGACACGGGCCAGACUCCUACGGGAGGCAGCAGUAGGGAAUAUUGCACAAUGGGCGCAAGCCUGAUGCAGCCAUGCCGCGUGUGUGAAGAAGGCGUUCGGGUUGUAAAGCUCUUUCAGCGGAGAGGCGUUACCCGCAGAGGAAGCAACGGCUAACUCCGUGCCAGCAGCCGCGGUAAUAC
rnacentral:rRNA from 1 species